rnacentral:rRNA from 1 species
AACGCUGGCGGCGCGUUUUAAGCAUGCAAGUCGAGCGGCAAGGGCCUCCGGGCCCCUAGAGCGGCGGACGGGUGAGUAACACGUGGACAAUCUGCCCCCCGGCCGGGGAUAGCCCAGGGAAACCUGGAUUAAUACCGGAUGAGACGGGACGCACGAUGGUGCGGUCCGGGAAAGGCGCUGCGGCGCCGCCGGGGGAUGAGUCCGCGACCCAUUAGCUGGACGGCGGGGUAAAGGCCCACCGUGGCGACGAUGGGUAGCCGGCCUGAGAGGGUGGACGGCCACAUUGGAACUGAGACACGGUCCAGACUCCUACGGGAGGCAGCAGCUAAGAAUCUUCCGCAAUGGGCGAAAGCCUGACGGAGCGACGCCGCGUGAACGAAGAAGGCCGUGAGGUUGUAAAGUUCUUUUCGGGAGGGGGAAUUACCGUGGCAGGGAAUGGCCGCGGGAUGACGUGAAUCCCGGAACAAGCCCCGGCUAACUACGUGCCAGCAGCCGCGGUAACACGUAGGGGGCGAGCGUUGUUCGGAAUCAUUGGGCGUAAAGGGCGUGCAGGCGGCACUGCAAGUCCGGCGUGAAAGACCCCGGCCCAACCGGGGGGGUGCGCUGGAAACUGCGGUGCUUGAGUACAGGAGGGGAUGCCGGAAUUCCAGGUGUAGGGGUGAAAUCUGUAGAUAUCUGGAAGAACACCGAUGGCGAAGGCAGGCAUCUGGCCAUGUACUGACGCUGAGACGCGAAGGUGCGGGGAGCAAACAGGUUUAGAUACCCUGGUAGUCCGCACAGUAAACGAUGUGCACCAGGUGGCGGGGGUAGAACCCCCGGUACCGUAGCAA